AUGGGUACCAAAGGGGUCCAGCUGUUCCUUUCAGAAUUCAAGUUCUCUCUUUUCAUUCCUGUUGGGAAAGGCAGUCAUACAGCUUCUCACCUCCUAGAGGGUCAUAUAAGAUUGGGCCUUGGACCUGGCACACUUCCUAAACCAAGAGCUAGAGUCCUACAACCUGUGCUGGGCGGCUUCUUCUUCUUCUUCUCCUUCUCCCUUCUCCUUCUCCCUUCUCUUUUCUUCCCUUCUCCUUCUUUUCUUUCUUCCUUCCCUUCUCCUUCUUUUCUUCCCUUCUCCUUCUUCUUCUUCUUCUUCUCCUUUCUUCUUUCUUCUCCUUCUCCUCCUCCUCCUUCUCCUUCUCUUCCUUCUCCUUCUUCUCCUCUCCUUCUCCUUCUCCUCCUUCUCCUUCCUCCUUCUCAUUCCUCCUUCCUCCUUCUCCUUCCUCCUUCUCCUCCUCCUUCCUCCUUCUCCUCCUCCUCUUCCUUCUCCUUCCUCCUUCUCCUUCCUCCUCCUUCUUCUCCUUCCUCCUCCUUCUUCUCCUUCCUCCUCCUUCUCCUUCCUCCUUCUUCUUCUCCUUCCUCCUCCUUCUUCCUCUUCCUCCUCCUUUUCAUUCCUCCUCCUUCUUCUCCUUCCUCCUCCUUCUUCUCCUUCCUCCUCCUUCUUCUCCUUCCUCCUCCUUCUUCUCCUUCCUCCUCCUUCUUCUCCUUCCUCCUCCUUCUUCUUCUUCCUCCUUCUUCUUCUUUCUCCUUCUUUCUUCUUUCUUUCUUUCUUCUUCUUCUUCUUCUUCNNNNNNNNNNUCUCUCUCUCCUUUCCUCCUCCUCUUCUCUCCUCCUCCUCCUUCUCUCCUCCUCCUCCUUCUUCUCCUUCCUCCUCCUUCUUCUCCUUCCUCCUCCUUCUUCUCCUUCCUCCUCCUUCUUCUUCUUCCUCCUUCUUCUUCUUUCUCCUUCUUUCUUCUUUCUUUCUUUCUUCUUCUUCUUCUUCUUCUUCUUCUUCUUCUUCUUCUUCUUCUUCUUCUUCUUCUUCUUCUUCUUCUUCUUCUUCUUCUAA
rnacentral:lncRNA from 12 species